CCCUGGGUUAGUCGGGACCUAAGCUGAGGCCGAAAGGCGUAGGUGAUGGACAACAGGUUGAUAUUCCUGUACUACCGAUAACCGUUUGAGAGAAGGGAUGACACAGUAGGAUAAGCUAAGCACACUGUUGGUUAUGUGUGCCCAAGCAUUGAGGCAGUCAAAGUAGGCAAAUCCGCUUUGAUAAUGCUGGGAUGUGAUGGGGAGCGAAAUUUAGUAGCGAAGUAGCUGAUUUCACACUGUCAAGAAAAGUCUCUAUCGAGGUUAAAGGUACCCGUACCGCAAACCGACACAGGUGGGUGAGGAGAGUAUCCUAAGGCCAGCGAGAGAACUGUUGUUAAGGAACUCGGCAAAAUGACCCCGUAACUUAGGGAUAAGGGGUGCCACCAUCAGGUGGCCGCAGAGAAUAGGCCCAAGCGACUGUUUACCAAAAACAUAGGUUUCUGCUAAGUCGCAAGACGAUGUAUAGGAGCUGACGCCUGCCCGGUGCUGGAAGGUUAAGGGGAUCUGUUAGAGCAAUCGAAGCAGUGAACUUAAGCCCCAGUAAACGGCGGCCGUAACUAUAACGGUCCUAAGGUAGCGAAAUUCCUUGUCGGGUAAGUUCCGACCCGCACGAAAGGCGUAACGAUUUGGGCACUGUCUCA
rnacentral:rRNA from 1 species